rnacentral:rRNA from 1 species
UUAAAUUGAAGAGUUUGAUCAUGGCUCAGAUUGAACGCUGGCGGCAGGCCUAACACAUGCAAGUCGAACGGUAAGAGCAUCAAACUUUUAAAUUGAAGAGUUUGAUCAUGGCUCAGAUUGAACGCUGGCGGCAGGCCUAACACAUGCAAGUCGAACGGUAACAGGAAGCAGCUUGCUGCUUUGCUGACGAGUGGCGGACGGGUGAGUAAUGUCUGGGAAACUGCCUGAUGGAGGGGGAUAACUACUGGAAACGGUAGCUAAUACCGCAUAACGUCGCAAGACCAAAGAGGGGGACCUUMGGGCCUCUUGCCAUCGGAUGUGCCCAGAUGGGAUUAGCUAGUAGGUGGGGUAACGGCUCACCUAGGCGACGAUCCCUAGCUGGUCUGAGAGGAUGACCAGCCACACUGGAACUGAGACACGGUCCAGACUCCUACGGGAGGCAGCAGUGGGGAAUAUUGCACAAUGGGCGCAAGCCUGAUGCAGCCAUGCCGCGUGUAUGAAGAAGGCCUUCGGGUUGUAAAGUACUUUCAGCGGGGAGGAAGGGAGUAAAGUUAAUACCUUUGCUCAUUGACGUUACCCGCAGAAGAAGCACCGGCUAACUCCGUGCCAGCAGCCGCGGUAAUACGGAGGGUGCAAGCGUUAAUCGGAAUUACUGGGCGUAAAGCGCACGCAGGCGGUUUGUUAAGUCAGAUGUGAAAUCCCCGGGCUCAACCUGGGAACUGCAUCUGAUACUGGCAAGCUUGAGUCUCGUAGAGGGGGGUAGAAUUCCAGGUGUAGCGGUGAAAUGCGUAGAGAUCUGGAGGAAUACCGGUGGCGAAGGCGGCCCCCUGGACGAAGACUGACGCUCAGGUGCGAAAGCGUGGGGAGCAAACAGGAUUAGAUACCCUGGUAGUCCACGCCGUAAACGAUGUCGACUUGGAGGUUGUGCCCUUGAGGCGUGGCUUCCGGAGCUAACGCGUUAAGUCGACCGCCUGGGGAGUACGGCCGCAAGGUUAAAACUCAAAUGAAUUGACGGGGGCCCGCACAAGCGGUGGAGCAUGUGGUUUAAUUCGAUGCAACGCGAAGAACCUUACCUGGUCUUGACAUCCACGGAAGUUUUCAGAGAUGAGAAUGUGCCUUCGGGAACCGUGAGACAGGUGCUGCAUGGCUGUCGUCAGCUCGUGUUGUGAAAUGUUGGGUUAAGUCCCGCAACGAGCGCAACCCUUAUCCUUUGUUGCCAGCGGUCCGGCCGGGAACUCAAAGGAGACUGCCAGUGAUAAACUGGAGGAAGGUGGGGAUGACGUCAAGUCAUCAUGGCCCUUACGACCAGGGCUACACACGUGCUACAAUGGCGCAUACAAAGAGAAGCGACCUCGCGAGAGCAAGCGGACCUCAUAAAGUGCGUCGUAGUCCGGAUUGGAGUCUGCAACUCGACUCCAUGAAGUCGGAAUCGCUAGUAAUCGUGGAUCAGAAUGCCACGGUGAAUACGUUCCCGGGCCUUGUACACACCGCCCGUCACACCAUGGGAGUGGGUUGCAAAAGAAGUAGGUAGCUUAACCUUCGGGAGGGCGCUUACCACUUUGUGAUUCAUGACUGGGGUGAAGUCGUAACAAGGUAACCGUAGGGGAACCUGCGGUUGGAUCACCUCCUUACCUUAAAGAAGC